UGAAAUUCGCCUUCAUGAAGCCGGAAUUGCUAGUAAUGGCAGGUCAGCAUACUGCCGUGAAUACGUUCCCGGGCCUUGUACACACCGCCCGUCACACCAUGAGAGUUGGGAAUACCCGAAGCCUGUGAGCUAACGUAAGGGGCAGCAGUCGAAGGUAGAAUCAAUGAUUGGGGUGAAGUCGUAACAAGGUACC
rnacentral:rRNA from 1 species